UACGUAGGUGGCAAGCGUUGUCCGGAAUUAUUGGGCGUAAAGCGCGCGCAGGCGGUCCUUUAAGUCUGAUGUGAAAGCCCACGGCUCAACCGUGGAGGGUCAUUGGAAACUGGGGGACUUGAGUACAGAAGAGGAAAGCGGAAUUCCACGUGUAGCGGUGAAAUGCGUAGAGAUGUGGAGGAGCACCAGUGGCGAAGGCGGCUUUCUGGUCUGUAACUGACGCUGAGGCGCGAAAGCGUGGGGAGCAAACAGG
rnacentral:rRNA from 1 species